rnacentral:rRNA from 1 species
ACGUAGGAGGCAAGCGUUAUCCGGAGUUACUGGGCGUAAAGGGCGUGCAGGCGGUUGGCUAAGUUCGUUGUGAAAGCGCCCAGGCUUAACCGGGCGAGGACAAUGAAGACUGGUCAGCUAGAGGACGGUAGAGGGGUGAGCAGAAUUCUUGGAGUAGGGGUGAAAUCCGUUGAUACCAAGAGGAAUACCAAUGGCGAAGGCAGCUCACUGGGUAAGUACUGACACUGAGACGCGAAAGCGUGGGGAGCGAACGG